ensembl:lncRNA
GCGUGUCUGGGCGCGCGCUUGCCUUUCGUGCGUGUCGGUGCGCAUGCGCGCGGGCAGGCGUGUGCCUCUGUGGGCGGGUGUGCCCGCGUGUGCCCUCGCCCGCCUGGAUUGUGCCCCUGAGUGUCGUCGGCCUCCGCGUGGGCCUUUCUUUCAUGUCUGCGAUUCUAAACCCCACACCACCAAGCCCACAGUCCCGGCUCCGCUCUGCGAACCCAGCCACGCGUUCAGAGGAGGAGCGGCUGGAACGCGAAGGCAGGUCUUUGCGGCUUUAAAGCCCAUCCCAGGCCGGUCCUCCUCCAAGGAGCUCACGGAGCCCACGGUCCCGCAAGAAUUUCUCCGGACUUCUUUUGCCUGCCAUGCCGGGCCACGUUCAGUGACACAGCAGUUGUCUUCUAAAUGCCAGGCGGCCACUGUCCCAGCCCCUCUUCCUGAACCUCACUUGGGACGAGCGCUGAGCACCUGCGUCAGCGGGGACGGACCCGCAGUGAGAACUGGCUUAGGCACAGACCUGAGAACCCCUCCCCAAGGGCCCAGCCUGCAACCUGGCCCCCAACCUGCUCUCUCACUUCCCUUUCUCAGUGGGUCAGCACCUGCUGAGCACGCCACACCCUCCCUCUCACCCCUGCCAGGAACACCCUCUUCCUUCCUCCCCCUCCCCUCCCCCACCGGCGGCCUCCUUCUGGGCUGGUCCGGCUUGGCCAAAGCAAGACACGUGGCCACUUAACUUCCAGGGCUCCCGCCCGCCCAGAGGAGCGAGGGAAGGGGUGGGACAUCUGUGAACAGCCUCAGGGGGCUCCGCAUUCGAGGCAGUGGCCUCCCUUCCCGGGCUGAAGCAUCUCAGGGACUGGAGCUACCCUUCUUUUCCUCUGUAUCUCCCCCUUCCCCCUCCUCGCACGGGGUCGGGCACGCAGUGGACGCUGGGGUACUUGCCGAGCAGGUGAUGGGGGCCCACGCAAAAGGCAGCUUUGACCUGCACAGCCCCCGCCCCCUCCCAUCAAGAUGCUGACAACGACAGUGACGGUGAUAAGUGACAUCCCUGGGCAAAGCACUGACGUUGUCACAGCUUGUCACCUACAAGGACUCAGGUGCCUGGUGCACGGGGUGGGGCUCAGCGACUUGUUCACGAUCACGCGGCUAGCCAGUGCAGGGGGGGCCAUCACCUGAGUCGGAGCUCCUGAACGGUCUGCCGGACCCCUGAGCUGGAAGCGGGAGACGUGAGUUCUGGUGGCUCCCCUGCGUGGCCUUGGGUGAGUCGUCUCCCCUCUCGGAGCCUCGGGCUCCCAGUGUGUAUAAUGAGGGCUUGACCUUCUCGGGCGUUAUGUUCCCCUUCUUGGGUGCUGUGUCACCACCCCGCCCCACCCCAAGGAGACACCAUGAGGGUUCAGAAUCGAGCGACGGUUAGAGGCAGGCCUCCUGUCUUCAGGCACCUUACGGUCCAGUGUGUCGAGCCCCAGCCCCCUCACCUUCCAUGGACGUUUGAGUUCUAGCUCAAGUGCGGACAGUGGGGCUGCGGGAGCUGGCGGGGGGCGGGGGAGGGGAGGGGGGGGGGGGAGGAGGGGUUGGAGAAGGUGGAGGAAGGGUUUGGCUGUGCAGGUGAGCUAGGAGGGGUUGACAACAAGCGUAGGUGGGGGUGAAGAGGCCACAGAGCGUGUGACCGGCUGGGAGGACCGGCGGCCCGGCGUGGAGAACGCGACGACCUUCUAGCCAUUUCCCUCUCCGAGCCCCCUCUCGUGAGCAAAUGUCUUUAAUUUAUGAAGGGACUGAUUUUAAAUCAUCCUCCCUCUCUCCCUGCCCACCCGCCCUCCUCCCCUGCCUAUAUUUCCCCCUGCCCAUAAAUUUUUUUUAAUGACAGUUUAGAAAAUGAGCAAAUCUUUGGUGACACUUUUAUCACCUCCAGAAUACUUUCGAUAAGAGGUUUCGGUAGAUUGCAUUCUGGGAGAGGGGGAGGAGAGAGACCAGAUAGCAGCUCCGCCUACCGAGGCGGAACCCCCCCCCCCCCCCCCCCCCCCCCCCGCCACCCUGACCGCCCCGGCCCCGUCUCAGCCCUCAGCCCAGAGGCUGCCCCUCGUUCCCCCUGCUGGUACCCAGCUCCUGGGGUCCCAGCACCAUCCCGACAGCCUGCUCACCCUGUGGCCUGGGCACAGCCCUUCACUCCUCCCUCUCUGCCGGUCUUUCGCAAAAUCUUGCCUAGCGCAAGGGAUAAUUAGCGCCAACCUAUUAAUAAUGGUUAAAAGUAAUUAGCUGCUGACAUUUUGUACCACACCUAGUGUUACUCAGACUGGCAAAUCAGGUCCAAAAAUAUUUCUCAAACUAAAAACAGAGCUGAGGUAGAUGUCAGGGGAGCUGGAAGGUUCACACGGCACCUGGAACGCAGGCCCACCGCCAAGAGUUCUCAGCUGGGCUGGGAAAGCAAGGAAACCCGCCCAGGGCGAGAUUGUGUCAGAAGGAAUGCUUUGGAGGGCCCAGAUUGGGGGGGGGGGGUGACGGGGCAGGGAGAGAAGCCUCCCAUGGUUUCUGCACAGGGACCUGAUCCCCGGAGAGGGGACUGCUUACGGGAGGUUGGUUGGGAGACAGAAGGCUUAGGGGGCUUGUCGCACAGUCUGGGAGGGAGCGGAAGCCUGGGCAGGAACCGAGAACCAGGCCUGGGAAUGAGGGACAUUGGAAGGGAAAUCAACAGGACCCGGGGGCUGGCUGGACACGGGACCUGUGAGCGGCAGGGUUUAGGAGAAUGGGGAUCCACAGAGAGAGGCCAGCCCGGGAGAUCACUGGGUGACUUGUGGAAGGAUCCUGUCCGGUUAGAAAUAUAUGGAGGAGGAAAGCAAGUUUUGUUGUCUUCAACAAACACAUUGUUGGGGCGCCUGGGUGGCGCCGUCGGUUGGGCAUCCGACUUCGGCUCAGGUCACGAUCUCGCGGUCCGUGAGUUCGAGCCCCGCGUCGGGCUCUGGGCUGAUGGCUCGGAGCCUGGAGCCUGUUUCCGAUUCUGUGUCUCCCUCUCUCUCUGCCCCUCCCCCGUUCAUGCUCUGUCUCUCUCUGUCCCCAAAAUAAAUAAAUGUUGAAAAAAAAAUUAAAAAAAAAA